rnacentral:rRNA from 1 species
UACGUAGGUCGCGAGCGUUGUCCGGAAUUAUUGGGCGUAAAGAGCUCGUAGGCGGCCGGUUGCGUCUGCUGUGAAAUCCCGGGGCUUAACCCCGGGCGUGCAGUGGAUACGGGCCGGCUGGAGGCAGGCAGGGGAGAAUGGAAUUCCCGGUGUAGCGGUGAAAUGCGCAGAUAUCGGGAGGAACACCGGUGGCGAAGGCGGUUCUCUGGGCCUGUACUGACGCUGAGGAGCGAAAGCGUGGGGAGCGAACAGG